rnacentral:rRNA from 1 species
CUACGUGCCAGCAGCCGCGGUAAUACGUAGGUGGCAAGCGUUGUCCGGAAUUAUUGGGCGUAAAGCGCGCGCAGGCGGAUCAGUCAGUCUGUCAUAAAAGUUCGGGGCUUAACCCCGUGAUGGGAUGGAAACUGCUGAUCUAGAGUAUCGGAGAGGAAAGUGGAAUUCCUAGUGUAGCGGUGAAAUGCGUAGAUAUUAGGAAGAACACCAGUGGCGAAGGCGACUUUCUGGACGAAAACUGACGCUGAGGCGCGAAAGCCAGGGGAGCGAACGGGAUUAGAUACCCCGGUAGUCCUGGCCGUAAACGAUGGGUACUAGGUGUAGGAGGUAUCGACCCCUUCUGUGCCGGAGUUAACGCAAUAAGUACCCCGCCUGGGGAGUACGACCGCAAGGUUGAAACUCAAAGGAAUUGACGGGGGCCCGCACAAGCGGUGGAGUAUGUGGUUUAAUUCGACGCAACGCGAAGAGCCUUACCAGGUCUUGACAU